rnacentral:rRNA from 1 species
GCCUGCAGCUAUCCUGCUUUGGGGUUUGCUCCUGUCAGAUCUCAUAACAUUAAGCAAAGUUUGGCUUCCUCAGUAUUUGCAUGGGAGAGCAGCUAGGGAAGUCCAGGACUCUGCAGAUA